UUCCUACCUAUAUAACUUUGACUAUCCUCUGUGGGUCUGCCCACUCUUGUGGAUCACCAAUCGAUACAUUCCACAAGGGCAAAGGGAGCAGAGACAUUGAGAAGGGAGGAGAGAGGAAGGCAGAGUGGGAGUGUAUAUAUUUGAAAGCCCUGUGAGUAUGUAUGGUGGAUAAACCACACCAAGACCCAAAGUCAGUAGGCAGAUGAACUUCACCUAGGGUGAUUGAAGGCUUAUAAAGUUUUGAAGGACUGAGGGCAGGGACAUUCAGGAUGGUCAAAGGUCAUUGGCUGGGGACUUAGGGUACCUGGAAUGCCUCAGCAUGGGAAAGCAUUUCCUGAAUUUCAGGUACUGGCUGAACAGGCUCUUAUUGGGAGAAAGGAAAUUGAUCCUGUAAACUAAUUGAGGCUAUGUUACAUUCCUCAGGUAGAGGCAUGUAUGGGGCUUAGAAUUCCUCGAACAAGUUUAAAGAAGAGGAAAAUUCGCUAAUGAAAGGAGUCCCCCAUAUUGUACAGAGCUGAGGCCAUCGGUGAACUUUGGCCUUAAUUAGCAGACUUUUCCCACAGUCCUCUUGACUUUGAGGAAGGAUCAGCAGAAUGCCCCUCCUUUCUUGACAGAAUAUGGGGGAGGCAUAUGUCUUCUUGCAGAAGUCCUGCUUUGUUUUUCCAAGAUCACUAGGACCUUCUUUCCCCAUCCUCUUCUGUCUCAGCAGUGACCGUGGUAGGCUCAGUUCAGUUCUCUGAUCUGGAGCCUUGGUGGCUGAUGGCCCUGCAAAAAGUGAGACUGCCAGACACCUGACAUCAGCCCCGAAAGGACUCAGGAGCAGAGAACUCUGGACCCUAGCAGUGGGAUGAGCUCUUGAUCUUCCUUCUUGAUUUAUAUGGCAUGGACCUAAAAUGGUUAUUUGGGUGGGGGUAUUGUUUGGGUCUCUCCAAAGCAGCCCCAGCGUGUUAAUUGUGAGUCAGUUCUUUGAAAGAUGAAGGGAACCACAAGGGAAGUCGGGGAGUCUGAAGUGAGACAGAGGUGAGACUAGGAUUAAAAGGUGGUAGAUAGCUCCCACUGUGAUCAAGGGUUUGAAUGUACAUGGGGAAUUCUGAGAAGCUCUGUAGUUUGUGGACCUUGCAGCCUAGCUGUGAAGAAGCAGGGGUAUUUUGCACUGAUUUCCAGGGGUAGCUGUGCAUCUGUCCUAGAGAAUGAGCCCACUGGUUGUUCCUGAAUGUAUGCUGACUGAUCACUGGGCCUGUGUGUAGUGUUCUGGAAAAGACCUGUAGGUACAUAUAGUGUCUAUAGAGUACAGGGUGGGACCAGUGGAAGGGACUCCUAUGUUUCUGAUAUCCCUGAAGGGUCUGUUCCAGGUAAGCUACAUAUAAACUGGUGGCAUCCAUUAGCUAAAGAGUCAUUCUCUUCUCUUGCAGAAAGAAGCCCUCUCUGAUCUUCCUAUCUGCUGUUGCCAGCAUAUUUGCCCCUUCGCUCUGAUUUGGUUCACUGCGGCUAUGUGCUGCCUUUCUGUACCUGUAUCUGGGCUGCUUAAGGUUUCUGGGAAUAUCACACCCACCACUUCUCCAGAGUUAGAAUAGCAGAUCACAGACAUUCAUGUGGUCGGCUGAGUGGGCUGGCCAUUCUAAUCCUGGGCUUCCAUGCUCCCAAGAGCAUCUCUACAAAGGGGUUACAGACCAUGAUUGUGGGGAAGUCAGGGCAGGAGCUUCAAACAACUAUCUACAUCACAUCUACAGUCAAGAUGUGUAGGAAGAAAUGAAUGCAUGGCUGCCCACUUGUUCACUAUUUGUGCUCAGCUUAAUUCAUACACAUGUAAGGACCUUAUGUCUAGGGAAUGGUGCUGCCCUCAGUGGGGUAUGUCUUCCUACAUCAGUUAAUUAAGACAAUCCUCCAUAAACACGCCCACAGACCAACCCAAUGCAAAUAAUCCUUCAACUGAGAUUUUCUUCCCAGGUAGUUCUAGGUUGUUGACAAUUCAAGCUGUCACAUCAUCCAUCCAUCCAUCCAUCCAUCAAUCCAUCCACAUAUUUCUGAAAGCAUUAAAUGCAUGGUGGGUACUGGAGAUGCAGUUCUUAUGGAACCAAAGAAAACAGAUAGUUUCAUAAAUUGCUGGCACAUAGGAAGUGCUGAGGGUAGUCACUAUGGCAGGCUUCUUUUUUAUUAUUCAUCUUCUGUUAUUAUAGAGUUGGGCCCUGGUAUUCUCAUGGGAGGGAAACCCUGACUAUCUAUACUGUCCAUCUAUACCCUGGAAUGUGCAGAGAUGUAGUCUGCUGGAAGGAGAAUCUCUUUGCCACAAAACUCCUUGUGUACUAUAAGUGGCCUCCCUUAACCAGCAGCUGACUUCUUCUGUGUAUCUAUACCAAACUUGCUUUGCAUCUAGUGCACAUUCCAAAGUAGAGUGGUGGACUCAUCUACCCGAGAUUUGAAGUUUGUGUGGAACUUCCUACCCAUAGAGAUGUUUGGCCAGAUAAAGACAGUUGACAGAUGCUACAAUCAAUUCAAAAGGCACAGUGCUGAUUCUGUGUGCUAUUGAGGGCUUGGAGGAUAAAUGGGUGAACACAUGAACCUUGGAUCCCUCCCCUGAAAUGUAUGAGGAUGAGCAAUUAUGAGCUGCUGUGGGGGUGGGGUGGAUAACUGUGGGGACUGUGUGUGGAAAGGGACAGAGUGGCAGCCGGGUUGUGAUGUCAUCUCUACAUCAUCAGAUCUCUGUAGGACUCACUGAAGUGACUGAUUAAAUACUGAAGGAAGUAAAGGAGGCAGACAAGAAGGAAAUGUAGGGUCAGUGUUCUUCACAGCAGGAAAUCCAAGAUGGAGGAUCCUCAAAGGAGUAGCAAGACUGGUUAGGUCCAUGGUGGAAAGGUUGCAGGCUUCAUUGGGUGGUACAAGAAGACUGGCUUUGCUCAUUGAAAUGUGAUCUGUCAAGCAGCAUGGAAAGCCCACGGACAGUGAAAGACGCUUGGGUGGCCAUGUAUGGGUCACAUAAUGCCAGGACUGCACAGUCACAGACAGUCAUCAGGUCACUGCAGAAAUUCAGAGAAGCCGAUAGUGACACCUGAUGAAACACCAGUGUGGUAGCUCUGGCUUCAUUCUGAUCCAACAGAUGCAGAGCUACACAAGUUCCCACACAGCAGAUAGAUUCAAGACAUUUGUGGGAUUAUUUGUGUUGGUUAGACCUGGGAGAGUUUGAGGGGAGCUGCAGCACUCCUCCUGAUCCCCGACUUCUUGUAAUUCUUCACUCCCUGGGACUGUUCUUCACUAGACUGCAUGAGUGUUGUGUCUUUUCUUGAUCCCUGACAUGUUCACGACACUAGUGUCCCCUCUGUCUCUAUGGGGCAGCUUCUGACUUGGCAAUAAAGAGCAUUUCCUGUG